rnacentral:rRNA from 1 species
AUUGAACGCUGGCGGCAUGCUUUACACAUGCAAGUCGAACGGCAGCGCGGAGAAGCUUGCUUCUCUGUCGGCGAGUGGCGAACGGGUGAGUAUAGCAUCGGAACGUGCCAAGUAGUGGGGGAUAACCAAACGAAAGUUUGGCUAAUACCGCGUAAGCUCUAAGGAGGAAAGUAGGGGACCUAAAUAAGGCCUUACGCUAUUUGAUCGGCCGAUGUCGGAUUAGCUAGUUGGUGGGGUAAUGGCUCACCAAGGCAAUGAUCCGUAGCGGGUCUGAGAGGACGAUCCGCCACACUGGGACUGAGACACGGCCCAGACUCCUACGGGAGGCAGCAGUGGGGAAUUUUGGACAAUGGGGGAAACCCUGAUCCAGCCAUGCCGCGUGUAUGAAGAAGGCCUUAGGGUUGUAAAGUACUUUUGUUAGGGAAGAAAAGCUAGUUUUUAAUAAAAAGUAGUGAUGACGGUACCUAAAGAAUAAGCACCGGCUAACUACGUG